ACUCCUACGGGAGGCAGCAGUGGGGAAUAUUGCACAAUGGGCGAAAGCCUGAUGCAGCAACGCCGCGUGAGGGACGACGGCCUUCGGGUUGUAAACCUCUUUUAGUAGGGAAGAAGCGAAAGUGACGGUACCUGCAGAAAAAGCACCGGCUAACUACGUGCCAGCAGCCGCGGUAAUACGUAGGGUGCAAGCGUUAUCCGGAAUUAUUGGGCGUAAAGAGCUCGUAGGCGGUUUGUCGCGUCUGCCGUGAAAACUGGAGGCUCAACCUCCAGCCUGCGGUGGGUACGGGCAGACUAGAGUGCGGUAGGGGAGAUUGGAAUUCCUGGUGUAGCGGUGGAAUGCGCAGAUAUCAGGAGGAACACCAAUGGCGAAGGCAGAUCUCUGGGCCGUAACUGACGCUGAGGAGCGAAAGCAUGGGGAGCGAACAGGAUUAGAUACCCUGGUAGUCCAUGCCGUAAACGUUGGGAACUAGAUGUAGGGGCCAUUCCACGGUUUCUGUGUCGCAGCUAACGCAUUAAGUUCCCCGCCUGGGGAGUACGGCCGCAAGGCUAAAACUCAAAGGAAUUGACGGGGGCCCGCACAAGCGGCGGAGCAUGCGGAUUAAUUCGAUGCAACGCGAAGAACCUUACCAAGGCUUGACAUAUACCGGAAAAGUUCAGAAAUGUUCUCCCCGCAAGGUCGGUAUACAGGUGGUGCAUGGUUGUCGUCAGCUCGUGUCGUGAGAUGUUGGGUUAAGUCCCGCAACGAGCGCAACCCUCGUUCUAUGUUGCCAGCACGUAAUGGUGGGAACUCAUAGGAGACUGCCGGGGUCAACUCGGA
rnacentral:rRNA from 1 species